rnacentral:lncRNA from 1 species
CCUACCUUCAAACUCAGUGCCUCUUUGCUUGACAUCAUGGCAAAAUCAAAAUAAAUCAGCCAAGACCUCAGAAAAAAAAUGUAGACCUCCACAAGUCUGGUUCAUCCUUGGGAGCAAUUUCCAAAUGCCUGAAGUGUGCAGAGCCUGAGGCACCUAACCGUGAGAGGAUCUGAUGGUUCACGGUGUCUAAGGCAGCGGACAGAUCUAGGAGAAUCACAGGACGCCGAUGUCCAAUGGGAAUGUGUCUGUCAUAGACCACCUCUCCAGGAUCACCUGAGGGGUUGUCUUCACACUGGACUGGACCCUGAAACCAGGGGCGAAAAUCUGACAUCAACUUUGGAGGGGACAAUUCCAGGAAAUUUUCUCAAGAGCAAUUCCUGAGGGGUACAGCAAAAGUAGUGCUGUAACACAUAGCCUACAUUGUAAUAUGGUAAAUGUAUAUUGAGGAGCCAAAGAAAUAAGGUGUUUGCCGUACUCAUAACUACCGGUAACCAAAACUACACAACAGCAAUACCAUUGCCUUUAACAAAUCUUAGUUCAGUCACCAGUUUAAGUUGAGAGUGGG